AUCGCGCGGUUUGUGACUUUAAGAGUUUUAAUAUUUCAUCUCAUCUCUAAAGUCGCUCGAGUUCGGGACUCGGGACGGUUUCUAAACACUGCGGUACCGAAACCGGACGAUUCCUGAAUCGCGUCCGCGCGCAGCUCUGAGCCUCGCGCGGUCUUCAGGCGCACCGUCAGAAAUGAAGGUUCAUCAUGAACAGUGCAGAUGUUCCUCAGAGCUCCAGCGGUGGUUUACGGUCUGACUGUGAACCUUGGAGACGCUUUUCCAGGUGAAAAGUUCCUAUUUGUGCAGUUCUGUUCUCUGACUAAAGGCACUGAGGCGGACCCUCAGGGUCCCAGCCCAGUGACAAGAGGGGUCUCAGCCCAGUGACAAGAGGGGUCCCGCCACAGUGACAAGUGGGGUCCCAGCCCAGUGACAAGAGGGGUUCCGCCACAGUGACAAGAGGGGUCCUGCCACAGUGACAAGAGGGGUCCCAGCCCAUUGACAAGAGGGGUCCCACCACAGCGACGAGAGGUCUCACGCCAGUGACAAGAGGGGUCCCAGCCCAGUGACAAGAGGGGUUCCGCCACAGUGACAAGAGGGGUCCCAGCCCAUUGACAAGAGGGGUCCCGCCCUAGUAACAACUCAUGGCCUCUGGCAGAAGGCGGCUCUUUCUAGCGGACCUGGUCCAGUAGACUCUGCUCACUGUAAGCGGGACUGCGUGUCCUUAUCAGACCUUCUCUUCAGCUCCACUGAGGUUGGGCUCCAGUGCUAAAGCUCUAAAGUGAGAGUCCAAUCUCUGUGUGUGUGUAAAACCCAGAAGGAGAAAUGCCUUAGAUGUGUGUGUGUGUGUGUGUGUGUAAAACCCAGAAGGAGAAAUGCCUUAGAUGUGUGUGUGUGUGUGUGUGUAAAACCCAGAAGGAGAAGUGCCUUAGAUGUGUGUGUGUGUGUGUGUGUGUGUGUAUAAAUAAAACGCCAGACCUCUAAAGCGCGAGGCGUCCAGUCACAGAGCAGCGCGACUGAGUGAAGCUACACCCGCAGAAAAUGACCUGAAUCCUGAGGGGUGAAAGGGCCCGAGUGACCAGUGGAGCCCUCGCGUUUCUGCUCCAGUGACAGUUUUCUGGUUCAACAAUGAGAAAAUCAGAGUAUAUCAGAGCCGAAGCGGUGCAGCGAAGCCCAGCGGACGGGUCUGAGCUCCCUGAGGGGUUCGGCUCGGAAAACAGGCGGUGCUCCAAACUGUUCCCACAGCUUUUCUCCCUUUCCCAGCGACCGGGAAGCUCCCCGUGUUUCACCCGCAAGAGCCGCCCGAGGAAACAGCGCACAGACCCCAACCAGAGCGCGAUGUCACCGCGCGUGGAGAUCGGAGGGCACGCGCAGCAAAUGCCCAAACAGAGUGGGGUUUGAACUUGUUUGGAUGACGUGGACACGGGCGAAUUAGCGCGCGCAGGUACAUCCUGCACGUGGGCACACGCGCAGCCCAAAGGCAGCCGAGCAGAAUGACCAUAACGACACCUUCAUAAAACAGAGCUAUCUCAGAGACACGGGCCAAAAGCACACGUGAAACGUCCGAACAGCGCGGCUUGUCCUCAUUACAGGGGAAUUCCACCCUUUUCCCCAAAAUUUCCUCGACAUGUAAACAGUCCGGUAGAGUGAAGUGCGUCACCAUCACAGAUACAACAGUACAACACAGAUAUGGCCAUUUUAUUUACCGUCCAGAACCACCAGAGAACCCACACGGGCUGAGUAAGUUUUCUCUGGGAACAAUUUACCUUAUAAGGCCCUAAAAUACAUUUUAAGACAAAACCUGUUUACAAAACUACCAUAAAACGACCGCUCGGACAUCAGGCAGCGCCUUUCAUGUAGGAGCCUUCAGUGAGGAGCUUUUAGAGGCGGACGUCUGGUUCCUAUCACCACCACUGUGAACAGUUCUGACUGUACGUUUGUUUAGAACGGAGCAUUUCGCACCAAACCGCUCUGAAUGACUUCGUUUACAUUUGCUUAGCAGUUAAAUGUGUAGAAUUUGUUUUUUAAAAAGCCGGCGGACUUUCCCUUCAGCGUUACUGAAGACCGCUAACAAGACGCAGCAGUCUGAGGAAAUUAGCCAUUUAGCUAGUUACAAACGGCGCCCACGUCCGGGAGAAAAGCUGCUAUUUCUGACUGAAGCCGUCCAGCUAAACUGAUACGACUCAAAAUAAAAGAUUAAGAGCACUUUCUAGACUUUCCACUCACGUUUCAGAGCAGAUUUCACCUUAAAAAUGAACAUUUUGUGCGCUAUUUUUUGUUGUGCUCUGCACUUGCUGUACGCGAGCCAAACAUGGUAUCGCGAGAUUUCGGUGGUGGACAGUAACUGAGUAAAUGUAAUUAGUUUGGGCUGGUUUGUGUUUAUGAACAGACGCCUACAGAUCAACAUAGUAAAGGA